CUUUUGACUAUCACCUAUAGCUUAGGCCAGAAAAUAGACCAUCCAGUCGGACUGAUUGACUUCUACUUCCUGCUGGGAAUAGAAGGGGGAGGUUGAACUUGAGAUAGAGUUCCUGAAAAAGCACAUCCCUUUGGCAGGAGCUGCUCGUAACCGAUAAACACUGGGACAGGAAACAGUGAAAGCAUUUAAAUAAGCCAGCAGGAAACAAUAUUUCUGUGUGUGUCAGAGAAGCAGCGGUGAGCUGUGAUGUGUUCGCUGUUGAAGUUUUGACAUCAUUUGCAUCUCUUCCAUGACUGAGAGAGACACCAGGAUGGCAGCUGAAGGGGCCACAGAGAAGAGAGCCAACUUGGUGGCAUCUAAAGUCAUGUGGAGUAACAGGGAUGACGUACCUAUGUCAGCACCAGAACGGUCACAUGGCAGUGACAGAGCUGGAAUCUGUAGACAGAACAACGUCCAGCAGUGGCUUAGAAGUCAUGAGGCGGAUGCAAAACCAGACCACACCAGAGAAGCUGCAGCAGGGCUUUUAAAGAGGAACGCCAGCAGUGAGGAUGACUUAGCGUUGGGCGUCGAAGGUAAAUAGAUCUUUCAUCUUGUAGUCGUUGUUUUUAGGGUGACAUGAACACCAGGUAGAGCCGAGGACAGAGGAGUAAGGUAAAAACAGGUUAUGUGGUUGUAAACCAUCACAAUGAUUUAUCCACUGUGUGCUCAGAGGAACAUUUGAGCUGUCUGAGAGUGGGUACACAAUGAGAAAAAUGUUGCUGAGGGCUGGUGUAUUUAGGCGAGGGGGUAAAAUAUUGGCAGAGGAGAGGCGGUGUCUGUACUUCUUGCUAAUCUCAGGGCUGAGCAUCCAGCAGUAGACAGAGGGAGGGACAGUUAAGACCAGGAUGAAAGCCUCAGAGAGACAGGGAGAAGACCAUACCAGACCUGGGUUCAAAUAGUGGUUGAAAACCUUCAAAAUACUUUGAGCGUUUGCUCUAGCCUGCCUGGAAUGCCUUGUGUUCUGGGUUUGGGACUGUUCUAUUGGUUCUUUAAGACAGGCAAGUGCAAUCAAGCACGGAUAAAGUAUUUGAAAUGAUUAACUAAUAUUUGAGCCCAGGUCUGGACUAUACACACCUCCCAGGCAGUUCACCCUAAACAUGGCUAAGGAAAAUCACGCUGCUUAGCUUUGGCAAACACCACAGCAAAUCUUAUACAAACACAGCUAGGAUCUGAUGCUCACCAGUCCUCACUGACACCUACUGGGGGCUGUGUGUGUAUGUGCGCGCGUGUGUUUGCCCGUAUCCAUGUACAGUAGCAUUACUUCCACAGUAUCCUUUCUUAGUCAUCACUUAGGCCGGCCUCAGAAUCGAAUAAAAUUGCAGUGAGACAGUAAAGGAAGAGAAGAAAGUGGAGAAGCAGAAGGAGACAGGAUGUCUUAGAAGGGACAGCCAAGGAUAUUUGGCACAAACCACUGUAUUUUCCUCAGAGACAGAGAGCACAGGGAGAACCUGUCCUUACAGAGAGGACAGGGGGUCAAUUCCAGACACUGACCCAAGGUGAGAUUGGUCAAGGCUGUCCACUAUCUCCUCCCAGGACCGGCUACUCAAGAUAUUAAAGGGAGUGGCUACUUAGAAAGGCUAGUCAACCAAAAGGGACUGCUGCCCCAAACCCUAAGGAAAGAUUGACCACCCCACAGACCACUCUAUCUCCUCCAAGGAACUGCCAAUGUACUCAACAGAAAGGUAAGUCAACUGAAAAGAAUGCUACCCCAAACUCCGUCGUUAGAUGGGAAUAUACAGUUCAGUACCCCUUGGCCUUGAAAAGCACCACCUUAUCUGUGGAUCAGGAGACCUGGUUACGUAACACCAAAUGACAUGGCACUUUAGGGAGUCAGCUCGGAACAGAACCCAAUGGAAUGGCAUGCAUCAUCACCAACUUUCCAAACACUAAUUUUAGAACUCCUCUUCAGAUGGAAGAACUUUGCGGAACGAGACCUGAUAGAAAAUAAGAGUUGGAUGUUGGAAUCUUGGAGAAGGUUCUUGGACAAAAAAAGGUUCCGUGUAAUGAAAUAAAAUAAAGCUUCGGCCGGCAGCACAGACCACUUUGUCCCUGUCACCAUGCCAGGGUAAAAUGGAGUCCCAACCUUGAAUAGAGGUAGAGAGGACAGCCAAGAGAGAACACUGACUGAAAGAACACUAAUGCCUAAUAUAGCUACUAAACAGAGCCAUCCCAGAGACAGGAUGUGCUGAAUUAGCAGUUGUGACUAGCAGAGACACAGUGGAUAACUAGCUCGUUGUCAUUCAUAGCAAGAUAUUCCAAAUAUUCAGCCUUGUUUGCUUUCAGGUCUAGAUGAUUUGUUAUUUUUUUUCUCUUCCUCAGCAUCUUUAUAUGGUAAACAGGGAGUGAGGACCGUCCAGGAAUUUCUGAGGUAAGGAACUUUCCCUCUCUACUGUCCUGUCGGCUGGUUGCUGUCAAACUUUUGGCGCUUUGAAAUGAAUUGCAACCGAGGGUCUAUACAUGGCGAGAUUACACAUCCAUGUAUAAAUAAUUUGCGUCUCUCACAUUUGAUGUGAUGUUAUCCAAUGUAUAACUUGCAUAUAUGAUUACUAUGGAUAACUUACUAUGCAUAAAUGGGUUAAAAUGUUUUAUUGACCCCAUAAAAAUACUAACAUUUCUCUCAAAGUGAGGUUAGAUUGAUGUGAUCCAAAAUUAAAUAUGUUUAAACUCUGAACACCCUCACCCAGGGCUAAUUUUCAGUCACUUGUCAUUAACUGACUGGUAGUGAAGGGAACUGGCUUGAUUGACAGAUGUUGUCAUAAGUUAUGGAUAAUGUUCACAUGAUACAUGCCCACCUGCCAGUGACUCCUAUUUACCAUGCAAAUAUAAGAGACUCACCUGACCUUCACAGAAACAGAUGGGAUACAUCCCAAAUGACACCCUAUUCCCUAUACAGUGCACUGCUUUUGACCAGGGCCCAUAGGGCACUAUGUCGGGAAUAGGGUGCCAUUUGGGACGCAGACAUGGAUGAAGGGAUGGUUUGCAUGAAACAAGAGUGAUGACAUAGACAUAGAUAUGACAUGACGAGGAGGAGAAUAAUAUGAGAUUAUUGUUGCGUAGUGUACAGUAGAGACAACUCUAAACAGGGUUUAGAUGAAGGAAUUUGUGUGUGGAGAUGACAGUGCGAGCAGUGUGAUUUGGAGACCAGUGUUAAUACAGAUUAUUGUUCCAUUCUGUUAUGGUGCAUUGUAGUAUUAUACAGAAAAGUGUUCUAUCAUGUCUUUGUCUGUAGAAGGAUGAGUGGCUAGCUUGUAUGGAGACACGAGAAUCGGAGACUGUUUGCAGCGGUGUUCUAUCAUGUCUUCACCUUUGGAAGAAUAAAUGGCUAAAGGAACACAUACCUAAGAUAUGAGUCUAGAUUCAGAGACGGUUGUCCUUCUAUGAUCAUGUCU
rnacentral:lncRNA from 1 species